rnacentral:rRNA from 1 species
UGCGUAGGCGGGCUAAUAAGUCAGUGGUGAAAUCUCUCGGCUCAACCGGGAAACUGCCAUUGAUACUGUUAGUCUUGAGUUCGGUUGAGGUAGGCGGAAUGUGUAAUGUAGCGGUGAAAUGCUUAGAUAUUACACAGAACACCAAUUGCGUAGGCAGCUUACUAGACCGACACUGACGCUGAGGCACGAAAGCGUGGGGAGCGAACAGGAUUAGAUACUGGUAGUCC